rnacentral:rRNA from 1 species
GACAAACGCUGGCGGUAUGCCUAACACAUGCAAGUCGAACGGACAGAACAGGGAAGCUUUUCGGAGUGGAACUGGAAAGUUAGUGGCGGAUGGGUGAGUAACGCGUGGACAACCUACCUUGUAAAGGGGAAUAACCUCGAGAAAUCGAAGCUAAUACCCCAUAAUAACCUUGCUUCGCAUGAAGUAAGGAGGAAAGGCGGCCUUAGCGCUGUCGAUACAAGAUGGGUCCGCGUCUGAUUAGCUAGUUGGUGAGGUAAAGGCUCACCAAGGCGACGAUCAGUAGCCGGCCUGAGAGGGUGAACGGCCACAUUGGGACUGAGACACGGCCCAAACUCCUACGGGAGGCAGCAGUGGGGAAUCUUCCGCAAUGGGCGAAAGCCUGACGGAGCAAUGCCGCGUGAGUGAAGAAGGCCCUCGGGUUGUAAAACUCUGUCCUUAUCGAAGAGAGAGUGUUGUAGUAACUGACAAUACUAGGACGGUAGAUGAGGAGGAAGCCCCGGCUAACUAUGUG